AUUGAACGCUGGCGGCAGGCCUAACACAUGCAAGUCGAGCGGAUGAAGGGAGCUUGCUCCUGGAUUCAGCGGCGGACGGGUGAGUAAUGCCUAGGAAUCUGCCUGGUAGUGGGGGAUAACGCCCGGAAACGGGCGCUAAUACCGCAUACGUCCUGAGGGAGAAAGUGGGGGAUCUUCGGACCUCACGCUAUCAGAUGAGCCUAGGUCGGAUUAGCUAGUUGGUGGGGUAAAGGCCUACCAAGGCGACGAUCCGUAACUGGUCCGAGAGGAUGAUCAGUCACACUGGAACUGAGACACGGUCCAGACUCCUACGGGAGGCAGCAGUGGGGAAUAUUGGACAAUGGGCGAAAGCCUGAUCCAGCCAUGCCGCGUGUGUGAAGAAGGUCUUCGGAUUGUAAAGCACUUUAAGUUGGGAGGAAGGGCAGUAAGUUAAUACCUUGCUGUUUUGACGUUACCAACAGAAUAAGCACCGGCUAACUUCGUG
rnacentral:rRNA from 1 species